rnacentral:rRNA from 1 species
UACGACCAAAAUGUAACUAAGCUGUCAUAAGCCCAAGAUACACCUAAGACCUCUCUCAAAAACGAUCUUAGUACCCCUGAUCAAUUUAACUCCACGAAAGCUAAGGCACAAACUGGGAUUAGAUACCCCACUAUGCUUAGCCCUAAAUCUUGAUAUUCAACCCUACUAGAAUAUCCGCCUGAGGACUACGAGCACAAACGCUUAAAACUCUAAGGACUUGGCGGUGCCCCAAACCCACCUAGAGGAGCCUGUUCUAUAAUCGAUAACCCACGUUACACCCAACCGCUCCUUGCCAAAAACAGCCUACAUACCGCCGUCGUCAGCUCACCUCUCCUGAGAGUCCAACAGUGAGCACAAUAGUUCAAACCCACUAGCAAGACAGGUCGAGGUAUAGCCUAUGGAGCGGAAGAAAUGGGCUACAUUUCCUAAAAUAGGAAACCACGGAGAAAGGUGUGAAACCAGCCCUUUGAAGGCGGAUUUAGCAGUAAAGCGGAUAAUAUAAGCCCUCUUUAAGCCGGCCCUGGACACGUACAUACCGCCCGUCACCCUCC